rnacentral:rRNA from 1 species
AACGUAGGUUCCGAGCGUUAUCCGGAUUUACUGGGCGUAAAGCGUGUUCAGGCGGCUUAGCAAGUCGGGCAUGAAAUCUCUCGGCUCAACCGGGAGGGGCUGUCCGAUACUGCUGGGCUUGAGGGCAGUAGAGGGUGGUGGAAUUCUGGGUGUAGUGGUGAAAUGCGUAGAUAUCCGGAGGAACACCAGUGGCGAAAGCGGCCACCUGGACUGUACCUGACGCUCAAACACGAAAGCUAGGGGAGCGAACGGG